GACGAACGCUGGCGGCGCGCUUAACACAUGCAAGUCGAACGGAAAGGCCCUGCUUUUGUGGGGUGCUCGAGUGGCGAACGGGUGAGUAACACGUGAGUAACCUGCCCUUGACUUUGGGAUAACUUCAGGAAACUGGGGCUAAUACCGGAUAGGAGCUCCUGCUGCAUGGUGGGGGUUGGAAAGUUUCGGCGGUUGGGGAUGGACUCGCGGCUUAUCAGCUUGUUGGUGGGGUAGUGGCUUACCAAGGCUUUGACGGGUAGCCGGCCUGAGAGGGUGACCGGCCACAUUGGGACUGAGAUACGGCCCAGACUCCUACGGGAGGCAGCAGUGGGGAAUAUUGCACAAUGGGCGGAAGCCUGAUGCAGCAACGCCGCGUGCGGGAUGACGGCCUUCGGGUUGUAAUCCGCUUUCGCCUGUGACGAAGCGUGAGUGACGGUAAUGGGUAAAGAAGCACCGGCUAACUACG
rnacentral:rRNA from 1 species